GGCGGAUGCAACUCACAACGCUUUUCGUGGACAGAGAGAUGCGUUUGGCAAUGCGGCAGUGAAUCAUGCUCUAACUUUAUUUGUUAAUCAUGGAGAGUCUGCCAAAAUAAGAUGCAACUACAGCCGAACAGAUGACACAGAAAUCAUGACAGUGGAUUUAAAAGCGUUAAAUCAGACACGCAUGUGUUCAUACAUACAUUUGAAUUCAUGGAAAAAACAAAGCUGCAAAGAUCACAUCAGAUUCAUAUGGAAUCCAGAGGCUAAGGAAAUAUCAUUUGAGCUAUUAAAUCUCCAUAUUAAGGAUACCGGCAAAUACACCUGUAUUGUGAGGAGGAAUGCAAAACCACCUGAAGUGGAUCUGGGAGUAGAAAGAGUUCAAAUUAUUGGCUGCCAACAGAAAAGCCACGCUCCUCCUAAUUAGCCUCAGCUGCGGAUGAUUUGGAGUGCUGCAUGAAAGAAAGGGAGAUAAUAAAAAAAAAAAGAAGAAAGAAAACAUUCACCAGCAUAGUACAAACACAAGACUAUGUCACAGGACGUAACAUCAGAAAAAAUUUUUGCAGAGACGGAGAUGUCCUCAAAAGCUCAUACUCAAAAAAAUCAUUCAAUGGAUUCUUCAGUCAGCAAUCAUACCUUAUACUGCCACCACAGACCUUCAAUGAUACAGUCUACUCCUGCUGGGUAAAUCAUUCAUCCCUAAACAAACCACUAGUGGCCAGUUUAUCAAGCUCGGUCUGCUAUAAGAAAGGGGAUUUAACGGAGGCUCUGGCAGUGGCAUUUGUUAUCUCUGCGGUUUUGACAGUCGUUUUGAUGAUUUUUGUAGUCCUGUAGGCAAAUGUAACAUUAAGUCUCAGGUAUGAACUCUGUGUUUAUAUUAAGCAUCUUAUUUUUUAUUUCUAUUUAAAAUGUCAUUCUGAUUGUGUUACUGAAUACUGGAAUGCUUAUUACCAGAAUUUGUAUUGGUAAACCUUAAUGACCUUGUCUAUGGACAAAAAAUUGUCUAUGAACGUGAUUGUAUUCAAAUGUACAGAUGUUACAGAGCUCCAGACUGUGCCAAAAAUGGUCGCAUUUGCCACCAAAAAAUAUUAAUUUGCUAGUGAAAUUUUUGCUGACAUCGCCACUUCCGGCUAUAUAAACUUACAUGUUGUGACUUUAAAUUUGCGUGUAAUUCUUUUUUUUCCUGCUGGUUUUGCCUGUUGCUAUGUUGACGUUAUAAAGUGACGAUAAAAAACAUUGGCUCCAGUUGGCAGCUUGAGAUAAUCGCAAUAAGCUUUGUGCUGUGUUACCUUUAAAUAAACAAAGUAUCAGCUUUAAAAUUCUGCCAAAUCACGAAUUUGCGAUGAAUGGACACCAAAG
ensembl:lncRNA